AUUGAACGCUGGCGGCAGGCCUAACACAUGCAAGUCGAGCGAGCGGCGGACGGGUGAGUAAUGUAUGGGGACUGCCCGAUAGAGGGGGAUAACUACGGGAAACGGUAGCUAAUACCGCAUACUAUCGGAUAACCCAUAUGGGAUUAGCUAGUAGGUGAGGUAAUGGCUCACCAAGGCAACGAUCCGUAGCUGGUUUGAGAGGACGACCAGCCACACUGGAACUGAGACACGGCCCAGACUCCUACGGAGGCAGCAGUGGGGAAUAUUGGACAAUGGGGGAAAGCCUGAUCCAGCCAUGCCGCGUGUAUGAUGAAGGCCUUCGGGUUGUAAAGUACUUUUGGCUGGGAGGCGUUAUCUGCAGAAUAAGCACCGGCUAACUACGUGCCAGCAGCCGCGGUAAUAC
rnacentral:rRNA from 1 species